rnacentral:rRNA from 1 species
GAUGAACGCUGGCGGCGUGCCUAAUACAUGCAAGUCGAGCGAACGGACGAGAAGCUUGCUUCUCUGAUGUUAGCGGCGGACGGGUGAGUAACACGUGGCUAACCUAUCUAUAAGACUGGGAUAACUUCGGGAAACCGGAGCUCAUACCGGAUGAUAUUUUGAACGGCAUGGUUCAAAAGUGAAAGACGGUCUUGCUGUCACUUAUUGAUGGAUCCGCGCUGCAUUAGCUAGUUGGUAAGGUAACGGCUUACCAAGGCAACGAUGCAUAGCCGACCUGAGAGGGUGAUCGGCCACACUGGAACUGAGACACGGUCCAGACUCCUACGGGAGGCAGCAGUAGGGAAUCUUCCGCAAUGGGCGAAAGCCUGACGGAGCAGCGCCGCGUGAGUGAUGAAGGUCUUCGGAUCGUAAAACUCUGUUAUUAGGGAAGAACAUAUGUGUAAGUAACUGUGCACAUCUUGACGGUACCUAAUCAGAAAGCCACGGCUAACUACGUG